rnacentral:rRNA from 1 species
AGCGUACACGGUGGAUGCCCUGGCAGUCAGAGGCGAUGAAGGACGUGCUAAUCUGCGAUAAGCGUCGGUAAGGUGAUAUGAACCGUUAUAACCGGCGAUGUCCGAAUGGGGAAACCCAGUGUGUUCCGACACACUAUCAUUAACUGAAUCCAUAGGUUAAUGAGGCGAACCGGGGGAACUGAAACAUCUAAGUACCCCGAGGAAAAGAAAUCAACCGAGAUUCCCCCAGUAGCGGCGAGCGAACGGGGAGGAGCCCAGAGCCUGAAUCAGUGUGUGUGUUAGUGGAAGCGUCUGGAAAGGCGCGCGAUACAGGGUGACAGCCCCGUACACAAAAAUGCACAUGCUGUGAGCUCGAUGAGUAGGGCGGGACACGUGGUAUCCUGUCUGAAUAUGGGGGGACCAUCCUCCAAGGCUAAAUACUCCUGACUGACCGAUAGUGAACCAGUACCGUGAGGGAAAGGCGAAAAGAACCCCGGCGAGGGGAGUGAAAAAGAACCUGAAACCGUGUACGUACAAGCAGUGGGAGCCCUGAUUUAUCAGGGUGACUGCGUACCUUUUGUAUAAUGGGUCAGCGACUUAUAUUCUGUAGCAAGGUUAACCGAAUAGGGGAGCCGGAGGGAAACCGAGUCUUAACUGGGCGUUAAGUUGCAGGGUAUAGACCCGAAACCCGGUGAUCUAGCCAUGGGCAGGUUGAAGGUUGGGUAACACUAACUGGAGGACCGAACCGACUAAUGUUGAAAAAUUAGCGGAUGACUUGUGGCUGGGGGUGAAAGGCCAAUCAAACCGGGAGAUAGCUGGUUCUCCCCGAAAGCUAUUUAGGUAGCGCCUCGUGAAUUCAUCUCCGGGGGUAGAGCACUGUUUCGGCAAGGGGGUCAUCCCGACUUACCAACCCGAUGCAAACUGCGAAUACCGGAGAAUGUUAUCACGGGAGACACACGGCGGGUGCUAACGUCCGUCGUGAAGAGGGAAACAACCCAGACCGCCAGCUAAGGUCCCAAAGUCAUGGUUAAGUGGGAAACGAUGUGGGAAGGCCCAGACAGCCAGGAUGUUGGCUUAGAAGCAGCCAUCAUUUAAAGAAAGCGUAAUAGCUCACUGGUCGAGUCGGCCUGCGCGGAAGAUGUAACGGGGCUAAACCAUGCACCGAAGCUGCGGCAGCGACGCUGAUGCGUUGUUGGGUAGGGGAGCGUUCUGUAAGCCUGUGAAGGUGUGCUGUGAGGCAUGCUGGAGGUAUCAGAAGUGCGAAUGCUGACAUAAGUAACGAUAAAGCGGGUGAAAAGCCCGCUCGCCGGAAGACCAAGGGUUCCUGUCCAACGUUAAUCGGGGCAGGGUGAGUCGACCCCUAAGGCGAGGCCGAAAGGCGUAGUCGAUGGGAAACAGGUUAAUAUUCCUGUACUUGGUGUUACUGCGAAGGGGGGACGGAGAAGGCUAUGUUGGCCGGGCGACGGUUGUCCCGGUUUAAGCGUGUAGGCUGAUUUUCCAGGCAAAUCCGGAGAAUCAAGGCUGAGGCGUGAUGACGAGGCACUACGGUGCUGAAGCAACAAAUGCCCUGCUUCCAGGAAAAGCCUCUAAGCAUCAGGUAACAUCAAAUCGUACCCCAAACCGACACAGGUGGUCAGGUAGAGAAUACCAAGGCGCUUGAGAGAACUCGGGUGAAGGAACUAGGCAAAAUGGUGCCGUAACUUCGGGAGAAGGCACGCUGAUAUGUAGGUGAAGCGACUUGCUCGUGGAGCUGAAAUCAGUCGAAGAUACCAGCUGGCUGCAACUGUUUAUUAAAAACACAGCACUGUGCAAACACGAAAGUGGACGUAUACGGUGUGACGCCUGCCCGGUGCCGGAAGGUUAAUUGAUGGGGUCAGCGCAAGCGAAGCUCUUGAUCGAAGCCCCGGUAAACGGCGGCCGUAACUAUAACGGUCCUAAGGUAGCGAAAUUCCUUGUCGGGUAAGUUCCGACCUGCACGAAUGGCGUAAUGAUGGCCAGGCUGUCUCCACCCGAGACUCAGUGAAAUUGAACUCGCUGUGAAGAUGCAGUGUACCCGCGGCAAGACGGAAAGACCCCGUGAACCUUUACUAUAGCUUGACACUGAACACUGGUCCUUGAUGUGUAGGAUAGGUGGGAGGCUUUGAAGUGUGGACGCCAGUCUGCAUGGAGCCGUCCUUGAAAUACCACCCUUUAAUGGCUGGUGUUCUAACGUUGGCCCGUAAUCCGGGUUGCGGACAGUGUCUGGUGGGUAGUUUGACUGGGGCGGUCUCCUCCUAAAGAGUAACGGAGGAGCACGAAGGUUGGCUAAUCCUGGUCGGACAUCAGGAGGUUAGUGCAAUGGCAUAAGCCAGCUUGACUGCGAGCGUGACGGCGCGAGCAGGUGCGAAAGCAGGUCAUAGUGAUCCGGUGGUUCUGAAUGGAAGGGCCAUCGCUCAACGGAUAAAAGGUACUCCGGGGAUAACAGGCUGAUACCGCCCAAGAGUUCAUAUCGACGGCGGUGUUUGGCACCUCGAUGUCGGCUCAUCACAUCCUGGGGCUGAAGUAGGUCCCAAGGGUAUGGCUGUUCGCCAUUUAAAGUGGUACGCGAGCUGGGUUUAGAACGUCGUGAGACAGUUCGGUCCCUAUCUGCCGUGGGCGCUGGAGAACUGAGGGGGCUGCUCCUAGUACGAGAGGACCGGAGUGGACGCAUCACUGGUGUUCGGGUUGUCAUGCCAAUGGCACUGCCCGGUAGCUAAAUGCGGAAGAGAUAAGUGCUGAAAGCAUCUAAGCACGAAACUUGCCCCGAGAUGAGUUCU